rnacentral:rRNA from 1 species
UACGAAGGGGGCUAGCGUUGCUCGGAAUCACUGGGCGUAAAGGGUGCGUGGGCGGGUUUUUAAGUCAGGGGUGAAAUCCUGGAGCUCAACUCCAGAACUGCCUUUGAUACUGAAGAUCUUGAGUCCGGGAGAGGUGAGUGGAACUGCGAGUGUAGAGGUGAAAUUCGUAGAUAUUCGCAAGAACACCAGUGGCGAAGGCGGCUCACUGGCCCGGUACUGACGCUGAGGCACGAAAGCUAGGGGAGCGAAUGGG